rnacentral:rRNA from 1 species
CCCUUAGAUGUUCUGGGCGGCCCGCGCACUACAAUGGCGUGUGCAGCGAGUGCCGAAGUAGAGUUUUCCGAGGUAUUCUUGCAAUGCUCGUUUUGAUGGGGACAGACCCUUGCAACUGUUGGUUUUGAACGAGGAAUUCCUUGUAAGCAUGGUUUAUCAUCCGACGCUGAAUGCGUCCCUGCCCUUUGUACACACCGCCCGUCGCUCCUACCGAUGAGUCGUCCGGUGAAGUUCGUAGACCUCGUGAUCGCGGAUCACUGGGGGAAGCAAAAUGAACCUCGCGGUUUAGAGGAAGGAGAAGUCGUAACA